GUCAGGUGUUGCUGGACAAACACAUAUUUUAAUGUUUGGGUCAUUCACACACAGCUUUCUUAAGAAACUGGAUUUUACAGCAAGGAAAGAAGAAACCUGUAAUGUGGCUAACACAGGUCAAUUUAUACUCUAGAAACCUGAUUUCUGUAACUUUAGGAAACCAACGAUCGACAUCCACAUGCACUUCAUGCCAUGACUGGCCACCUUUGCAGAGAUAUAAAGAAAUUUGCCCUGUCCCCCUGGAUUACCUGUCUUCCCUGCCAGUCUGCAAGGCCAUAUGGAUUUUCCUCCACCUCGCCUCUCCUGCCAGCUUCCCAAACUUCUCCCUCCCCAACGGCACCUGGACCCAGCCCCGACCCCCCUCUGCUCAUUCAUCCCUGUCAGUUAGUUGUCCUAAUAAACCUCUAAACUUUUGCCAUCGGCUCCUGUCUGCUUUUGGGUACUGUUUCGAAGCCUGACAGUACAAUCCGGCCAGGAUGGACCCAGCAGAUCUGGAGCCGGUGCGCCACGUGGUGUCUUCCCAGGGCGCCAUAUUGGACCUGCACAGCGGCGCCCUCAAGGAGAGGGAGAUGAGUGGAGUACAGGAGUUGACCGCAAGGGUGGCAGACCUGCAGCUUCACACUCAGCCUUCCCCUCCUACCGUCUCCAAUCUUCCCCCAGUGGCCUCGUCUGGCCAUGAGCCCUGGGUCUCACCCCCAAAAGGUAUGAGGGCAAUUUGGGUCAGUGUAAGACCUUCUUAAUGCAAUGUGGACUCGUUUUUGAUCUCCAGCCCCUGUCAUACUCCUCCAAUAAGGCCAAGGUCGCCUAUGUCAUCAGCCUGCUGUGCGGUGAGGCACUGGAGUGGGCAUCUGUGCACUAGAGAAAACAGUAUCGGGUAACCACCCCCUUCACCACUUUCGUCGCUGAGAUGAGUAAAGUUUUUGAUCGUCCUGUGCAAAGUAAAGACGCUUCUAUGAGGUUGCUCUCCCUGCGUCAAGGGUCACGGAGUGUGGCUGAAUACGCCAUAGAGUUCCGGACUCUGGCUGCGGAGAGUGGGUGGAAUAUGGAGGCGCAACAGGCAGUGUUUUGUAACGGUUUGAGUGAGAUCCUAAAGGAUGAGUUGAUGUCUUAUCCCGAGUCUAAAGUUGUGGAUGAAUUGAUUGCUUUAUCCAUUCGCAUUGACAACAGGAGAGAGAGGAGAUGGACCACUGAAAGUGACGUCACCUCCCGGCGGAGUGGCCGCUGCCCCACUCCGUUGGAAGUCGCCCAGCUUUCAUUCAGGGAGCUGAGCAGCGUGAACACAGGGAGGUGGUGUCCAGAGAGGAACCCAUGCAGUUGGGCCGUAACCGUCUCUCCCCGCAGGAGAGAGUGUGGAGGUUUGCUGAGAACUGUUGCCUUUACCGCGGGCAGCCGGGCCAUGUCGUCGCCACCUGUCCUACCCGGACGUUAAACAGGAAGGCUCGCUAGUGCCGGGAAGGAUCUUGGCGAGCCAAACAUCUGUCCCUCUGCCAACCCCGGGCCAAACUCCACGCAACCAUCAGCUGGCAAGAUUUUUUCUAAAGACCCUGCCGAACACAUCCAGCACGUCCGACAAGCAGCUUGUGGAGAACAGACUGUUCGCUAAAGCUGAGGAAAUGUGAGUUUCACGCCUCUACUGUGUCUUUUCUCCGAUACAUCAUAGCAGAGGGUCAGGUCAAGAUGGACCCGGAAAAGGUGAGAGCUGUGCUGCAGUGGCCCAGGCCAGAGAACCGGAAGCAACUCCAGAGGCUUCUUGGCUUUGCCAAUUUCUACAGACGGUUCAUUCGUAACUAUAGUCGUGUUGCUUUUCCCCUCAUCGCUCUCACCUCCACUUCCAGGCAGUUCCUCUGGUCUCCUGAGGCUGAGGUGGCUUUCCAGGAGCUGAAGAACCAUUUUACCACCGCUCCCAUCCUGAUCCAGCCAGAUCAGUCCCUGCAGUUUGUGGUGGAGGUGGAUGCCUUUGAUGUGGGCGUUGGGGCGGUUCUGUCUCAGCGCUCACCGCGGGAUAACAGCUAGCUAAAGCGAGUGACAAGGAAUUAUUAUGCUAGCGCUAGCUAGCUAGCUAAAAAUAAUGACAAGGUAUUAUUAUGCUAGCGCAGGAUGACAAGGUGUUACUAUGCUUGUGCUUGCAAGAGAUGACAAGCUACUAAUGUGCUAGCACAACCUAGCUAGACAGAACAAGUUAUGAAUGUGCUAGCACUCGCUAGCUAGAGAGGACAAAGGACUACUGUGCUAAUUAAACCUCACAUAAGACACCGAAAUUCUUAAUUAGCCAUUGUUACACAUGGCAAAAAUAAUACAUAUUUAGUAAUGUAAUAAAACAUCAAGUUAGAUUUAUUUUGUGAGGAAGAAGACACGCAGACUGUAGUAACUGCACUAUUGCUUUCAGGCUGAGGGUGGUGUUUCAAAAUAAGUCUACAACGUCACAACGUUCAAUGUAUGUUAACAGGUAGAGGGUCUGGAUACUUUUCUAAACGUUUCAACAAUCUACACUGCCUAUGACUGCACAUUAAGAAUAGUUUUCUUUCUUAAUUAUAUUUUACUCAUUAAUAUAACUAUUGUUAUCAGUGUUAUUGAUACCAUUACUUAUUACUACAUACUUAUUAUUCCCAUCAUUGUGGUUAUUACUUAUUUAGUUAAUUUACCAAUUUUAAUUAAACCAUGACCCUUCCUGCAAAAUCCCAGGACAACACCAGAUGACACGGACACAGUAUUAAGACUGUAUUAAGCUAGUACAGGAGAGAUGUGAUCUUUUUUUCUAGUUCCUGUCAGUACUCGUGCUGCAGCGUUCUGAUGAUCAAUGAUCAAUAUACAAAACAUGAGGGCAAACAGACUUGACUGGUCCAGCACAGCUGCAGAUUAAAGCAACUGUCAUCCUCCUUCUGUUAUGUAGUACAGACUCCCACCAGCCUGUUACUUUGUGAGAAAGGUGUUGUUACACUUUUUAAUGUAUUCUUAAAAUAAUCAAUAAAAUAUGCAUGGUGCAGUUAUGAGCACAGCAUUUGGCUUCUGUCCAGAUGUGGCUUGUACAUUACUUCAUGCUUGUCCCAGUGAACAUUGUAAUCCUGACAAUCACUUUUGGUAAUUCAGGCUGUGACACCUGUAAACAUGCAGCGGCAUAGACGCAUUAAUCCAAAGGAUGAUGCAAGAUUUUAUAUUAAUGCUGAAAGUGACAAAGUGGGACUUGACAUUAAGUACAUCAGUGCUGUAAAAGGUCGCGGCAUCUUCACCUCUGUUCCAUUUGAAAAAGGAGACUUUCUGUUGGAAUACAGAGGUGAUCUAAUAAGCAGUCAAGAAUGUGAGAGGAGACAGAAUUUACCAUGACCUCCUCAAAGUGUUUAUGUUCAAGUUCCAUUUUAAUGGAAAACUGUGGUGUGUUGAUGCAACAAAAGAGGAUGGGUCACUUGGCAGACUUGUAAAUGAUAUUCAAUGGGCCAUAUAAACCCUAAUGCCAAGAUGAAGUACCUCACUGUGCAAGGGAAGCCCCAUCUCUGUUUGUUUGCAGUUCGAGACAUAAGUCCAGGAGAGGAGAUCACCUAUAAUUAUGGUGACUCAGACUGGCCGUGAAGAUGCAAGAAACCUAGAGGAACAUCUUCAGAGGGGCAGCAUGGUCAGGGACCACCCAUAUCAGAACCACCUACAAGUGCUCAAAAGGUGUCUGCAGGUGCAUCAAGUGGUUUUCCCAAAUAUUUUGAAAAGGGCCUUGAUGAGGAAAUGGCUCCAAAGAUUUGUGGGUCCACAAAUCCUCCAUCCACAAUUGAUGAUACUGAAGAGCUGACCACUGAGAGCAAGUGCAUCCAUACAGCCGUCAGCCACCUGAAUCAGACUAGUCCAGUGCUCAGCCCACUCACCAAGGUUGGAGAGUGUCAAAAACACCGCCUGGUGUGCGCAACAAUAUCCUCCUUGGACAAGUGUGUUCAUUGUGUGGGACCCGUAUCCUCCUUCAAGUGGCUUGGCUAUCGAUGCACAGUUUGUUCAGGGGUCUGGCAUAAAUCCUGCCUCAAGCAAAUUACAAGAGAUGACUUUCACAGCACAGCACAGGCGCAGCAGACUUCUAAGGCUUCUGGGGAUGAACUGCUGUCAGAUCAGGACAAAAUUCCAUUCAGAAUUGGACCAAAUAUCAUCUGAUGAUGCUGAGUACAUGUCUGACAAGGAAUACAUACCUGACUCGGAGUCAGAAUAUGAUGAUGAUUCAGAUGCCACCUAAUGUCAAGUCAGGCAAGAGCUGCACAUAUUCAAGUAAAACCAGUAAUACCUGAUGUUGGAACAUCUUAUGGGUCAGACACAGGCACCCCAGUUGUGCCCAUAGAUCAAAAUGUUGGCCACCCCUUAAAAAUGAGAUGAUUCCCAAUGCUGCUGACGCAUCUAAUUCAGCGAAUUCUGUCAAAGACUCAUCAAAGGAAAAGCUAGAGGAUGAAGCUGUGACUCAUGAACAAGAAUUACCACAUCUGAUUAUGAGUUAAAAAAUUACUGUUAUGUUUGUGGUAAGCCACAAAGCAAAAUUUCCCGCCACUUGAAAACACCCAAGACACAUGCUGAAAUUGUCCAUGCAUUUUCCCUUCCUGAGGACUCAAAAGAGCGCAAGAUAUUAUUAAUAUUAUUAGAAAAAAUUAGGAAUAAGGGAAACUUUAAACAUAACACUGCAGUUUUGCAAGAUGGAACAGGAUCACUGAAAGUGAAGAGAAAGCCAAAGGCUAAAACACUGGCAGGAAAGUUUAUUCACUGUAUGCAUUGUCAAGGGAUGUACAUACGUAAGGAGCUUUGGACACAUGUCCGCAACGAAGAUUUGGAUGAAAAACCUGGGAGAACCAAAGUACUGGGCUUGGCUGUAACUCUGGAGUCUACAUUCUGUCAGCAGAUCUCAAGUGGAGUGUGGAAUCUCCUUAGUGUCAUGAAACAAGAUGAGGUGGCCUCAGUUAUGCGAAAUUACCUCUCUAUUAUUCAGUUUGCCCGGUCACCACAACAAACAUGGACAAGACCCUACAAAAUAUGAAUACAUUCGACAGAAGCUCCGUGAAAUGGGGCCUUUGUUGUUAUGCCUGCGUACAGAAUUCUCAGUACAUAACCUAGAGGAGGCUUUUAAACCUGCUAACUUCCAGAGAGUUGUGCAAGCAGUAAAGAAAGUUUCAGGUUUUGAUGAAAAACACUCAUACCAGAAACCAAGCCUUGCGUUGAAACUGGGGCAUACACGGCAGAAAAUCGCUGACAUUGUUCAUUGUAGGGCACUCAUGACAGAAGAUGAAGAACUGAUCAGGUCCACUGACAUAUUCAAGAAAUUGUACACCUCCAGGUGGUCUGAGUUGGUGUCUCACAGUGCCCUGAACACACUGAGUGAUGCAAAAUACAACAAACCAUCAACAUUGCCCUUCACUGAAGAUGUUUAGAUCCUUCAUCAGUACCUUGAGAAAUACUCAGAAGUGCCUUCUGCACCUUGAAAGAAGAGGCCACCACUCAGAACUAUGCUCAACUUGCAAAACUCACAUUUGCACAAAUAACUGUUCAAUCGAAGACGUGCUGGGGAAGUUUCAAAAAUGCGCCUCAAAAGUUUUUAUGAAAGGGACGACACAAAGCUCCAUCAAGAUGUUGCCAUGGGGUGUCGAAGACUGAACAGAAGCUCUGCAACUAUUUCAGCCGAAUUGAAAGCAUGGGGAAAAGGGGCAGAAAGGUUGCAGUUCUGUUCACACCAAGUGUGGUGGAUGCUUUGUCACCUCUUGCCAGUAGAAGAACUGAAUGUGGCGUUUGUGCCACAAAUGUCUUCCUGUUUGCAAGACCAACAUCAAUGAGCCACUACAGAGGACAGGACUGUUUGCGUGUUCAUGCAAGCCAGUGUGGAGCAAAGCACCCUGAGUACCUCAGGUCAACACAACUCAGGAAACAUGUUGCCACACUUUCACAAGUCCUUAAUUUAAAAAAAACAAUGAACUUGAUCAGGUUGCAGAUUUCCUGGGUCAGGACAUCCGUGUUCACCGCGACUUCUACAGAUGACCAGUUCCCCCAACACAACUGGCUAAGAUUUCCAAACUGCUUUUGUCAAUGGAGAAAGGACAUCUUUCCAGCAUACAGGGGAAGUCACUGGAUGAGAUUGAAAUUGAAGGUUUGUACAGAAAUUAGCCCUUGUAGAUAUUAUGUUUUUUUUCUUUAAAUGUUAAUUUAUAAACGUCUAGACUUGGCGUAGUUAUGGAGUUAGAUUUGUGUCUUUAUUACAUGCGAGAAAAUAAAUGAUCUGAGAGAAAAAAAAAUGUCUGACAGAAAAAGUUAUCACACUGAUAGCAAAAGAGCAUUUUAUGAGAAAAAAAAAUAUUUGAGAGAAAAAGUUUUCAUACCAAAAUCAAAAAAUAAUAAUAUUUGAGACUAAAAAAAGUU